GUGCCAGCAGCCGCGGUAACACCGGCGGCUCGAGUGGUAACCGUUAUUAUUGGGUCUAAAGGGUCUGUAGCCGGCCGGAUAAGUCUCUUGGGAAAUCCAGCAGCUCAACUGUUGGGCUUUCAGGAGAUACUGUCUGGCUCGAGGCCGGGAGAGGUGAGAGGUACUUCAGGGGUAGGGGUGAAAUCUUGUAAUCCUUGAAGGACCACCAGUGGCGAAGGCGUCUCACCAGAACGGACCUGACGGCAAGGGACGAAAGCUAGGGGCACGAACCGGAUUAGAUACCCGGGUAGUCCUAGCCGUAAACGAUACUCGCUAGGUGUCGGCCACGGUGCGACCGUUGUCGGUGCCGUAGGGAAGCCGUGAAGCGAGCCACCUGGGAAGUACGGCCGCAAGGCUGAAACUUAAAGGAAUUGACGG
rnacentral:rRNA from 1 species